CACACCACAUCCCUACUUAUGAACCUAGCCACAUGUUUCUAUUUGGUCUAAAUUGCUAGGUUUCUAGGUAAGGAUUGUGGUGUG